CCCCAUAGAAAUAUUUUCUAUGUC
ensembl:miRNA mir-8196.1 ncRNA